CUUUCUUUGCUACCAGUUGACAUUUUGUUCUAAAAUACCACUGGGGAAUUUAGAUUGCCAGUGGAACUAGGUCAACUCAAUGAAAGCUAAUUUAUUGAAUGGCUAAUUGCCAAUUCACCAAAAGUUUCUUUGCUGAAAAUAAAUUUGCUGAAUCAUUAAAUAACUUACUAACCAAUGCACUGAAUACCAUCAACUGUGUUUUGGAUGACUGGCUGCAGACGUUGUGCUAUCAGAGCAAGAAGCACCUGGAGAGGAGACUCAAAAGUAAAGGACCACCCAAGUGGGCUGCGAUGUUGCUGCAGCCUCCUUCUGUGAUGGGCAGACCCUGGCCAGUCAGCUGCUGUUUCUCCUUCUGGCUCUUCUCUCUUCUCCUCCGGAUCGCCUGUUCGCUGAGGGAAGGAGUGCCCCUCACACGCACUCUGCGGCUCAGACACGCAGCACAGGGGCAGUGUGGAGAGACCAUCUUGAGUGCAGCCAAUAAGCAUUAAUCCUAACCAGUCCCUGAAAGGAUGUGAAAACUAAUGCUUCCCCAGCCCUCCCCUGGAUGCAAAUAAGCUUGCCUAAGAUCUAGCAAACCCCUGGGCAUUUAGCCUGCAGUUCCCCGCCAUGGCUGUAGAAAUCCAAGUCUGCACAUUCCCUACAUCAGGAGUCCUCAGAUCUGGUUUUCACAGGCUAGUCCCAUUUCCAAAAAGAAUUUCAACCCAAGAUUGUCAACCUUUAAUUACGCCAAAUGUAAUCAUUAAAAAACCCUAUCAUCUAUUACUGCCAUCACUUAACAUAAAUAAUAACACUUGAAUGCCCAAAUCAAAGACACGGUUUCAGAAUAGAGGAUGGUCUUUCAGGAGUCCAGUUAUCAUGGUGGCUGUGGAAUCACGGGGCCAGGAUGGAGUAGGCUCUACGCUUGCCAGACGGCUGAGCUUGUAGGGGCCUCUGAGGGCAGGGAGCUCACUAGUUGGUGGUGGGGACCAUGGAGCAGGGGCUGAGGACCUUAGGAGUUUCACAUGAAAUGUUGAUGCCUUGUUCUCUGCAGAUGCAGAUGUCCCCCUGCCCUACCAACAUUUUAGUGUGACAAUUUUUGAAUAUCUUCCACCACUGCCAUUUUAUCCAAUGUUUUUAGCUGGAGCCUUCUCUGUGUUUCCACUCAGUUCC
rnacentral:lncRNA from 1 species